UGAGCUUCCUUGGUCCUGCUCAUGUGGCCCCUCUCUCACCUGGAGCUGAUUGAGGCAAUUAGGCUGGGAGAGUUAAGCUCCAUGUUGAUGUCCGUUCCUUGCCAGUAACUGUAUGUUGGAGGGGGGGGUUGUCCCAGAACCUCCAUGGCUCAGAACUCCUCAUCUCUUGGAAUCUGGCUCACCUACCCGCUCUCUGGAAAUCUCUCCAUGCCUCACCUGCCUGUCAUCUCACUAUCUCGGAACCAACAGAACUCAGUGUGACCAUACGUACCAGUCACACUCCCGCUGCUUUCCCAGUCCGGUUUCCCUGUUUUGCCACAGCCACGUUACCAACCACUGUAUAUUUUGUCACUGCCAAGUGUUAGUUGUGUUAGUUAAAUAAACAUUGUUAAAUCAUUCCUUCUGCCUCUGCUCU